rnacentral:lncRNA from 1 species
AUCCCUUUCUUGAAGGAGUUUCAUUUUCUUGGCUUAUUCAGGAGUCAGCCUCGGCUUAUAUGGAUUCCUUGCUAAGCCAAAAGCACCCGGCACUUCUGCAGAGGAGCUCUGGGGUUUUGUUGUGUCAGGCACUGCUGACAGCUGACAAACUACAGUGUGAGGGGGAUUCUUAGCCUUAUGAGCCCACCAGAAAAAGAUGGCAUCCUUCUCAACAAUACUCACACCUUGAAUGUAAUAUCUAUACCACUCUACCCAAGGGAGCCUGGACUGGUGAUUUGGGCACAGUCCGGGGUUCAUCAGUUACCCUUUACAGUUGGUUCUGUUCUGUGUUGCCUACGAAAGAAAUCCUUG